AUGUACUGGCAUCACAGAGCAGUGGACUGCCCUGGCAUUAGACCUGCCCUCAGGACCAGCCUCAAAGGACAGCAGAGAGGCACAUCCUUCCAGCAGUACAGUGUGACCACUAUUCUCAAAAAAAGACAUGGCCCGAGAUGCUCCCACCUUCCAUCCUGGCUCCUGGAAUUACAUCUGGCUCCAAAGAACCUGGACAUCUCAAUUUCCUCCCCAAAAGCUGCCGUUCUCCAAGAUGCAGAAGCCAGAGGGGUGACGUUCCUGUUCAGGAAGAAGGGAUGUCCAGGCCCACUGCCCCACUCUCUCAGCAGAUUCUCAUUUUCAGAAUCCUGGAAACCAGACCCAGAAAUCUGCCUCCCUCUGUUUACCCAGAGUUCCAAUGUCACCAACCCCCUCAAUUAAUGCUAGGGCGCUGGGUCAUGCAUAGCACGGUCAGCUCGGUCUCCAAUUCUGGCAGCAGCUGCAGCCAAGGUCAAGAACCAUGGGGGCUGGGUUAGCUCUUACUAGUCCCCUAAAUGCCACUGCCCACGCUCUCCACUCCCGCCCCUCCCGCUGAGCAGCGGCUGCCAGGGCGGCAGGAAGUCCUUCGCCCUGGGCCCGGCGCCCUCCAGCGGUGGACGCAGAGCACCAGGCUCCAAAACUAGGAAGCCAGCUCAGCCUGUAGCUGGGCAGCUGGGGCAGCUUCACACCUAAACCAGCCUCUAAACGGGCGCACCUGGACAAAAACCAGUAAUUUAGAAAAGUCUGUGUUUCUAGACAUCUCGCACGGCCAGCAUUCUCCAUGAGAAGGGAGCUAAUAGGAGCAACUUUUCCUAUACGCUGGAGACUUAAUGAGUCUCUCACCAACCCAAGGCUGACCUGUAAUCUGAAAUGACCACGAAAGAGGCAAUUUCAAGCCUAAAGAAAGGACCCCACUAUGUUGACAUUUAGGCAUGAGUGUGGGUGGCAUUGGGGCAGGAGUCCUAUGUGCUGCUUAAAUCCCACCAUAGAGUCAACUGGCAGUGUGGCCUCUGUCUGACACAGCUCAGGCUCUCCUGCUCUGAGGGAAUUUAGCAGAAGGUCCCUUACCCCACCCAGUUCUGCAGCCCCUCUGAGAAGUCACAUAGCUGAUGCUCACAGGGGCUGGGGGUGUGCUUCUCCCAGUCCCCACCCCUUCUCCCACCUCUCACGUUGCCUGUGGUUCCAGGAGCCAGCUGCGUUUAGUC
rnacentral:lncRNA from 1 species